CCAGCUCUGUGUGAUAGGAUAUCGAGCCACGGCAGUCAAGCUGUAAGGCUGCCUCGUUUUUUGAAAAUGCUGGACGGCCUGGCGUAUCAUUGCUCAUUUAUUCUUCUUUUUCUUGUUUUGCAUUACUUUUUUGUGUUUCUACUUUCUUUGCUCAAGGAGGCAUUCCUGAAUACUAACAAAUUAAAUAUUUAUUCAGUCAUUUCAUCACACUAAUCGAUCUCGAUCUUCAAAAAAUUGCGUUUUUUUUUUCACUUGGCCGUUCACGAAUCUAGCGCUGCCUGCCUCCGCUCCGACAUCGAACCAAUGAACGACCUUAGGACCAAGAGGACGAGAACCUCUGUACAGGUCAGGGGGCGAGUGCCGCCGCCUCAGAUGCAGGCUGGGAGGUCUUGGGUCCCAGCAGCCUCUUCAGCCAGUUGGACGAGCGGGAGCUGGAGCUGAGUCCGAGCUGCGCAGCAGGGUCUCCCAGGUGUUUCUACUACCUAUUUUGUGCGUUCCCCCUGGAGAGCGCGGACAUUCCCAUAUUAUGUGGUCGAGGGUCCCUCUCUCCCCACAAAGAUUACACCUAUCGCUCCUGGCCUCGGGGAACAUGUGGUUCGCCAUAAUCGGGAAACUACGCCUCGAAGGACAGGAUACGAGGCAUCACUGCGCGGAUCAACAGUUCUAAGGUAUCUCCGAGACCAUUUUUCAAGCUUUGCAACGGCAGCGGCAGCGUGGCGAUUUUUUUCCGGCGUUUAAAGAAAUCCCGCGAAAUAUGAAAUAAAACCACGU